AACCUUAUGGACCUGCGGGCGUAUACCUGCGGAGGGAUCAUUACAAGUGACCCCGGUCUAACCACCGGGAUGUUCAUAACCCUUUGUCGUCCGACUCUGUUGCCUCCGGGGCGACCCUGCCUUCGGGCGGGGGCUCCGGGUGGACACUUCAAACUCUUGCGUAACUUUGCAGUCUGAGUAAACUUAAUUAAUAAAUUAAAACUUUUAACAACGGAUCU
rnacentral:misc_RNA from 1 species